UGGGGAAUACUGCACAAUGGGCGAAAGCCUGAUGCAGCGACGCCGCGUGAGGGAUGACGGCCUUCGGGUUGUAAACCUCUUUCAGCAGGGAAGAAGCGAAAGUGACGGUACCUGCAGAAGAAGCGCCGGCUAACUACGUGCCAGCAGCCGCGGUAAUACGUAGGGCGCAAGCGUUGUCCGGAAUUAUUGGGCGUAAAGAGCUCGUAGGCGGUUAGUCGCGUCUGCUGUGAAAACUCGAGGCUCAACCUCGGGCUUGCAGUGGGUACGGGCUGACUAGAGUGCGGUAGGGGUGACUGGAAUUCCUGGUGUAGCGCUGGAAUGCGCAGAUAUCAGGAGGAACACCGAUGGCGAAGGCAGGUCACUGGGCCGCAACUGACGCUGAGGAGCGAAAGC
rnacentral:rRNA from 1 species